rnacentral:pre_miRNA from 1 species
AAUAGAUGAUGCCGUUGACUUUUUCUUACAUGUUUGACCAUUUGUUUUAUUAAAAAGAUUUACGUAAUUAUAAUUUAUUUUGUUAUAAGUUGUUUUAUUACUCAUAGUACUUUAAGUGUAAUUUAUAUCUUAUACAUUUACAUAAUUUUUUUAAUAAGACGAAUGGUCAAACAUGUGAGAAAAAGUUGACGGCGUCAUCUAUU